rnacentral:pre_miRNA from 1 species
AGAGGGAUAGCUGGGCCAAAUGGUGGUUCCAUUCCCAGAUUUCCAAGGAAUCUCCAUAUUGCUUUCCAUAUUGGCUGCACCAAUUUGCAGUCCCACCAGCAGU